GACGUAGGGCGCGAGCGUUGUCCGGAUUUAUUGGGCGUAAAGAGCUCGUAGGCGGCUUGUCGCGUCGUUCGUGAAAACCUGCAGCUCAACUGCAGGCUUGCGGUCGAUACGGGCAGGCUAGAGUUCGGUAGGGGAGACUGGAAUUCCUGGUGUAGCGGUGAAAUGCGUAGAUAUCUGGAGGAACACCGGUGGCGAAGGCGGCAUCCUGGACCGGUAUUGACGCUGAGGCGCGAAAGCUAGGGGAGCAAACGGG
rnacentral:rRNA from 1 species